AUGUCUUGGAAUGUUAGAGGGCUAAAUGCGCCGGCCAAACGGGAGGCCAUUCGUGAAAUUGCUGCUACUUACAAAACAGCCAUCCUGACGCUGCAAGAAACAAAGAUAGAUGUUUGGUCUUCAAAAAUCACGCGUGAGGUAGGAGGACAACUCCUGCAGGGUUGUGUGGUUCUCCCGGCCCUGGGGACAAGGGGUGGCGUUGCAAUUUUCUGGAACAAAGUUGUAGUUCGCAUCAAAUCACACUUCAUUGGUAGAUUCACCAUCACGGUCAAGGUCACUGAAUUAAGCAGCAAUGUUCAGUACUGGCUGUCAACGGCAUACGGGCCGGCUAAAGAAGCCAUUAGGGAGGAGUUCUUUUUUGAGAUGGCCAGCAUUGCACCACCAGCAGGAGAGCCGGGGCUGAUCACAGGAGAUUUCAACAUGAUUUAUGAAGUUAGAGACAAAAGCAACUCUAACCUGAACAGGAGGCUUAUGGGAAGGUUUAGAAAAGCUUUAGAUUUUGCGGGCUUAAAGGAAAUCAAAUGCCACAACGAAAGAGAGAACCCAAGCUUCUGCAGCAUCGAUAAGUUCUUUUGUAAUAUAGAGUGGGAGGCUUUGCACAAUGUUUUCAUGCUGAAUGCAGCAUCCACAUCCUUCUCGGAUCACUGUCCGCUGCUCCUCUCCCCUUGUGCUAGCCCACCAAGACCAGCAAGAUUCAAGUUUGAAAACCACUGGCCCAAGUUUCCACACUUCCAAGAAACGGUGAUGCAUACAUGGAACAAACCAGUCUCCCAUGACUGUCCUUACAUCAGACUGAAGGUGAAACUACAGAGAACUGCAAAGGAUUUAAGGAUCUGGAGCAAAUCACUAUUCAGCAAGGCCAAGAUGUAG
rnacentral:rRNA from 1 species